UCUUCGUGGGCACGGAGAGGAGCAGGGGCUGCGGGCAGGGCAGAGCCCCGCUCCACACCCGCAUCCUGCACAUCCCGCACGCUUCCCCUCGAAUUCUCCCCACAGCCACCGGCCAAUUAGUAAAGAACCCUUAUAUUCUUCUAUCUAAACUACGGGGAAGGUUCAGCCAGAAGCCAAGAACCCAAGGUAUCGGAAAAGUGGAACUUUGCCCCGACGGUCGACGAGAAGACAAAUUGAGAGAAAUGGUCUGAAGUGUCAAUAUUGAUCUUUUGGCGCUGGCUGCGGACUUGUUGAGUGCCCUGAGUUGGUGACACCCGCAAGAACAGCUUCCUUCUCCUGGGAGAAGCAGGAUCCAGACCCCACAGGCAUCCCAAGAGCUCUGCCUGGAGACACCCAAGCCUGCCAGACACUGCUGGGCGCUGAGGAUGGAGUGAGUGGCUCCAGGUGUCAACUGAACAAAGUCAGGACCACAUGCAGUUAUCCCAGAGCACACAUCCGCGUGCAGAAUAUUCCGGAACAGGUAUUUCACUUUAAAUUCAUGCCCCGUCUUAUUCCAGAAUAUUUUCCCUGUGUGGAGAAGCACUUGGCUGGGGUCUCUGCUUGCUGCCGUACUAGUGAUAAGAUGGAUUGGCUGAUCUAAUAGGUCUUUUCAAUCUCUGAUUUUGAAAGCUAAGAUUGGGAAAUUAAUUUCAGAAAGGUCAAAACAGAGCAAGGCUAUCCUGCUGCUGUGCGAUGGAUCCUAUUUUUUUUUUUAAAUCUGCCUAUUGAGGGAAAGGUUAGUUAUUCAGCAUCCUGCAAAAGAAAGAAAUAAAUAAAGCGGGCCGAGGAACACAGGAGUGUAUAGAUCUGCUGACCCAUUCGCAAUCCUCAGUUAAUGAGAGCGCCGGGGAGCGGGAGCGCUGAGAGCCUGCGGA